rnacentral:rRNA from 1 species
AAACUCAAAGGAAUUGACGGGGANCCGCACAAGCNGGGGAUGAUGUGGUUUAAUUCGAUGCAACGNAAAAACCUUACCUACCCUUGACAUGUCUGGAAUCCCGGAGAGAUUCGGGGGUGCUCGAAAGAGAACCAGAACACAGGUGCUGCAUGGNCGUCGNUUUACAACGCCGUGCGUGGUUNNUAAANNACAACNACCGAGCGCAANNNUAGUCAUUAGUUGCUANGAAAGGNNNNUCUAAUGAGACUGCCGGAGACAAACCGGAGGAAGGGGGGGAUGACGUCAGGUCAUCAUGGCCCUUAUGGGUAGGGCUACACACGUCAUACAAUGGACGGUACAGAGGGCUGCCAACCCGCGAGGGGGGAGCCAAUCCCAGAAAACCGNUCGUAGUCCGGAUUGCAGUCUGCAACUCGACUGCAUGAAGUCGGAAUCGCUAGUAAUCGCGNAUCAGNNNGCGGNGGUGAAUACGUUCCCGGGUCUUGUACACACCGNNCGUCACACCAUGGGAGUGGGGUUNGCCANAAGUAGUUAGCCUAACCGCAAGGGGGGCGAUUACCACGGCAGGCUUCAUGACUGGGGUGAAGUCGUAACA